CAAUAGCGUAUAUUUAAGUUGUUGCAGUUAAAAAGAUCGUAGUUGGAUUUCGGUUAAGAGCGACCGGUCCGCCGUUUGGUGUGCACUGGUUGGUUUUAACUUCCUGUAGAGGACGUGCUCUGGGUUUAACGACCUGGACUCGGAGUCUACGUGGUUACUUUGAAAAAAUUAGAGUGUUCAAAGCGGGCUUACGCUUGAAUAUUUCAGCAUGGAAUAACACUAUAGGACUCCUGUCCUAUUUCGUUGGUCUCGGGACGGGAGUAAUGAUUAAGAGGAACAGUUGGGGGCAUUCGUAUUUCAUUGUCAGAGGUGAAAUUCUUGGAUUUAUGAAAGACGAACUUCUGCGAAAGCAUUUGCCAAGGAUGUUUUCAUUAA
rnacentral:rRNA from 1 species